UUUCCGUAGGUGAACCUGCGGAAGGAUCAUUAUUGUAUAACCGAGGUGCGAGGGCUGUCGCUGACCCGACAGGUCGUGCACGCGCGGGUGCCCUCACACACAUCCAUCUCACCCCUAUGUGCACCACCGCGUGGGUCCCCCUUUGGCUUGUUCGGAGGGGGGCUUACGUUUUCACACAAACUUUGUAUGCAGUGUAGAAUGUAUUUUUUGUUUUUGCGAUCACGCAAUCAAUACAACUUUCAACAACGGAUCUCUUGGCUCUC
rnacentral:misc_RNA from 1 species